UUUAUAGUCGAGUCUCAAGACAGCGUCGAUGCUCAAGACCGACCUUGAACCAACUUUGUGUUUUAUAAACCGAUCUCGAGACACGACGUUGUCUUGGGAAGUGUAAAAUGACAGCCGAAUCUCAAGUCAUCGAUCGACCUUCCUCAAGACCGCGAUUCUAACCUAACUUUGUUUGUUAUUGUUUGAAUUUUGAAUAUUUUAAAUUCAGUUCCAACAUAUAUUUUUUGUUUUUCUAAUUACAACAAAAAUGUAUGAAGAAGUAAAAGCAUUUUUAGAGUUUAUUGAUAAUAUUGGAGAAGAAAAUCGCCCGGGAAGUAUACAAAAGCGAUAUAUUCAAGAUAAAAAUAUAAUCUAAAAUACAAUGGAGUAUUACAAUAUUGAAGUUCAUCAGCGAAUCAGCGCAUUAACUUAAACAAUAAAGGUUUUAUGCUACUUAUAGGAAUAUAACCAGUUUUUAUGAGGAAGCCCACUUUCCAAAAAUGUACAGGUACUAGAAGAGAAAUUAUGUAUAUUAUUGUUCAACAACAAGGUUAUCAAGUCAUUCAAUAUUUGAUCUAAGAGCAUUAAGAGUGAAAUUGUGAAAUGGAAAGAAGUGAAAUUCCAGGAUUAUUAAUAGGAAUAGAUGACAGUAGUGGGUAUGCAUGCAGACACUAUCUACUUACCCCAGUAUUACACCCAGGUAAUGAUCAAGAAAAUAAGAUAUUUUUAUCAUAGUACUCAUGUGAGAACAAGAAAUGUAGAAAAGCUAUUUGGAACCUGGAAAAGAGAGUUUCCUUGUCUUCAACAAGGUCUACAAACCAAAUUAUAUACAUGUCUUGCAAUAAUAUGUGCUACAGCAGUACCUUACAAUCUAGGUAAAUAAUGAUCUGGUGGUAAAUAGACAUGUUAAUGAUGUGGAACAAUCUCUAAAUUUUUGGUGACAUUUUUUUAAACAAUAUUUUGCAUGAGAAUACAUUAUUGAAUACCUACUCUUAUUGUGUUUGAUUUUUUUGUCUAUUAUUUCUCAAAAUAUCAUGAUCAUUGUUCGACAGCCCUUUUUGUUUGAGUUUUGGUCUCUUGAGGAAUACAGCUCCAUUCCAAUCUAUUUCAGGAUUUGUUCUUGCAAUUUUUUAUUUUUAAAAUAUCAAUGUCUUAUUCUGUUUGUUCCUUAAUAUCUAAUCUAUAGUCUUUCUCUCGUUAUAUGUCCAGCUGACAUUUGUGUGCUUAUUUUGGAAAGUAUUUCAUAUGCUUCCAUCCUUCCUCUUAGAACGUGGUCCUAUUUUGAUGAAUGUAUAUGGAUCGUGGUAUGCCCUGUAUAGUUCAAAAUUAUAUCUUCUCUGGUCUUCAUAUUUUAGAUGCUAUUUAGCCUGAUUCUAGUGCUUUAUCGUUGUUUCCAGUGCUUUAUCAAUUUAUCAUCGUUUAUUUUACCUACCUGUCUACUGCUACUCUACUAUUGUACUUUCACCAUAUAUUUUUGGAAUAUAAAUAUAUAGUCACCUUCUGUCUUUCUCUUGUUCAACUGGAAUUUGUUUAUUUAUUCUGAGAAUACAUUAUUGAAUCUGUAUUAUGUUAGAUAUAUUAUUUUUUAUUUUA
rnacentral:lncRNA from 1 species